rnacentral:tRNA from 1 species
CGCAGGAUAGAGCAGUCUGGUAGCUCGUGGGGCUCAUAACCCUAAGGUCACAGGUUCGAAUCCUGUUCCUGCUA